UGCAUGUGUCAGCAGAGUCCAUGUGAAAAAAGCAGAACGCCGCCCGUCGAUGAAGAAGUCGCAGAAGCUGCAACUCUGCUUGUUUUUCUUUCUCUCACCUGAACUGAAAGUUGACCCGGUCGUCUGCCUGUUGAAAUGCCAAGAAGAGACAGAAAAUUGAAGACACUACAAAGGAAUCUGAAAAAAUGCAGCUAGAGGCAGCAAAGGAGGAGAUGAGAGAUAAAGUUCCUGUCAAUGCUCUACCGUCCACUCACCACAGGUCUUCAUUGUCGAGCGGAUUUAAAUGGCGUAUCAGCGUCGACUUGGAGGUGUUUGAGGUCGAUGCUGAUCAGGCUGGAGGGAAGACACCAGUUGUGUCUGACAACAGCAGAAUCCAUUGAGCAGAAGAUGAUUUAUCAGCCUGAAUGUUAAUCGUGUUACAGCAGAGUGGAGCCAGAGGUGAGGCAGAGCAGAGACUCCUCCCAAAUAUUUGAUUUAAUGCAGGCUUUUAUCCAGACACCUUACAGUCCCAUGAGUGUGUAUAUAUCAACCAUGGUGGCCCCAGUGGGACAGCAGCCCCCUGAUCCUGACAGUUUACAUUACUAUUCCUUUUUAGCCCAGUUACUCAGGAGAGUCGGGUUUGAGUCAACCAGCAGCUCCAAAGUCUGGAGUCUGAAGUACCUUAAAAUGCCUGACUCCCAUACAAGAAGCCUCAACUUCUGUCUAGAAAUACUGAGUCAAUCAUUGUUUUCAAUGAGUCAUUAUUGUCUCACUCUGUAAAUUCAAGCCCUCUUAUAAGUGUGAAGGGUGGUCAUUUUGGAAAUUAUUGCUCCAUUAAUAAGAUUUGAAGAUUUAUAGUAGCUUUGAUGUCUGCCUUGUGGGUGUUGAUUGACAGUUGGCUCACCAGUUGGACUGUUGUCUCAAUAUUUCACUAACGUUAAUGUUACUUGAUUACGAUGCCAUAUUAAUAUCUCCUGAUUGAUGCUCCUUUCCUCAAACUUCCAUAAACACUUUUCACAUCACUCCCAUAAUAAUUAUAUAAUUAUAUAAAUUAUAUAAUUAUAAUGAUCAUAAUUCCUUUUUUCCAGUAUCCAUCUUUAUAGUCAUUGUGCUUUAACAGCAAUGUUUUUGCCAGAUUAAAACAAAAUAAAGAGUUUCUGCUUCAGUCUUUGCAAAGUGUUUGUCAAGGUAUA